UACGAAGGGGGCUAGCGUUGCUCGGAAUCACUGGGCGUAAAGGGUGCGUAGGCGGGUCUUUUAAGUCAGGGGUGAAAUCCUGGAGCUCAACUCCAGAACUGCCUUUGAUACUGAGGAUCUUGAGUUCGGGAGAGGUGAGUGGAACUGCGAGUGUAGAGGUGAAAUUCGUAGAUAUUCGCAAGAACACCAGUGGCGAAGGCGGCUCACUGGCCCGAUACUGACGCUGAGGCACGAAAGCGUGGGGAGCGAACGGG
rnacentral:rRNA from 1 species